rnacentral:lncRNA from 1 species
CAUUACCCAGUAAGCCCCUUUUACCCUUGACCUGUAUACAUCAGUGGCCCAAGAAGCCCAAAUAACUUAACAAAAACAGGAAACCCUAGGGUUUCCUGAACACUAUCGCGUCGCAACUGCUUCUGGAAUAUUUGGGGAGCGUCUGUCCAGUCCCCGAAAUCGAGGCCACCAUCAAAGCACUGUCCCAAGGCCUUUCGACGCACCAGCUCGGCCACCGAUCACGCCUCCACCAGUGGGCCGUGACUUUAGCAUUGUGUUGUGCCCAGCGCAGUCACUAUCAAGAUCCUCGCAAAUUACCUGCAAGAAAAGGAAAGAAACACAACAGAUACGAAAAAACAAAAAGGGAAACUAAAGAGAUUCAGCAGAUCACAAUCAAGGAUAUGAUACAGUGGACAAAAAAAUCUUUGAUUUCUUUCCAGUUUAUGUAAUCACAAUAAUGGCUAUAAAAGCCCGAAAUCAAACCAUUGUAAAGGACCGGAUUUUUGAAAAUAGAAAUAUACUUAUAUAUUUGAUUCAAAGAGAAAUACAAACAGUUUCCAAAAGGUGAUUUAAUCGUGCACCUUGUUUUUAUUUUAGCAUGCAUACAUAAAUUGUUCUAAGCAGAAAUUGCUGAGGUUUUACAAAGGAAAGAAAGUUACCUGUAUUACGUUUGAAAGAGGGAGGGUUUUUAACCCUCCGACCACCGUGCGUGGCGGCGCAUAGGCGCGUGGGGACCGAUGGACGGAGACUCCACAGAACUCUGAUGACCGGCCCCUAAUCCUCUUCAGAGGAUUUUUU